rnacentral:rRNA from 1 species
AUACGGAGGGUGCAAGCGUUACUCGGAAUCACUGGGCGUAAAGGACGCGUAGGCGGGUUGGAAAGUCUGAUGUGAAAUCCUACAGCUUAACUGUAGAACUGCAUUGGAAACUUCCAACCUAGAGUAUGAGAGGGGGAGAUGGAAUUAGUGGUGUAGGGGUAAAAUCCGUAGAUAUCACUAGGAAUACCCAAAGCGAAGGCGAUCUCCUGGAACAUUACUGACGCUAAGGCGUGAAAGCGUGGGGAGCAAACGGGAUUAGAAACCCGAGUAGUCC